rnacentral:rRNA from 1 species
GACGAACGCUGGCGGCGUGCUUAACACAUGCAAGUCGAACGGUGAAGCCCUUCGGGGUGGAUCAGUGGCGAACGGGUGAGUAACACGUGAGCAACCUGCCCCUGGCUCUGGGACAACCACUGGAAACGGUGGCUAAUACCGGAUACGACCCGCCUCGGCAUCGAGUGUGGGUGGAAAGUUUUUCGGCUGGGGAUGGGCUCGCGGCCUAUCAGCUUGUUGGUGAGGUGUAGGCUCACCAAGGCGACGACGGGUAGCCGGCCUGAGAGGGCGACCGGCCACACUGGGACUGAGACACGGCCCAGACUCCUACGGGAGGCAGCAGUGGGGAAUAUUGCACAAUGGGCGAAAGCCGGAUGCAGCGACGCCGCGUGAGGGAUGACGGCCUUCGGGUUGUAAACCUCUUUCAGCUCCGAAGAAGCGAAAGUGACGGUAGGAGCAGAAGAAGCACCGGCUAACUACGU